rnacentral:rRNA from 1 species
AUUGAACGCUGGCGGCAGGCCUAACACAUGCAAGUCGAGCGGAUGAAGGGAGCUUGCUCCUGGAUUCAGCGGCGGACGGGUGAGUAAUGCCUAGGAAUCUGCCUGGUAGUGGGGGAUAACGUCCGGAAACGGGCGCUAAUACCGCAUACGUCCUGAGGGAGAAAGUGGGGGAUCUUCGGACCUCACGCUAUCAGAUGAGCCUAGGUCGGAUUAGCUAGUUGGUGGGGUAAAGGCCUACCAAGGCGACGAUCCGUAACUGGUCUGAGGGGAUGAUCAGUCACACUGGAACUGAGACACGGUCCAGACUCCUACGGGAGGCAGCAGUGGGGAAUAUUGGACAAUGGGCGAAAGCCUGAUCCAGCAAUGCCGCGUGUGUGAAGAAGGUCUUCGGAUUGUAAAGCACUUUAAGUUGGGAGGAAGGGCAGUAAGUUAAUACCUUGCUGUUUUGACGUUACCAACAGAAUAAGCACCGGCUAACUUCGUG